rnacentral:rRNA from 1 species
CCCUUAGAUGUUCUGGGCCGCACACGCGCUACACUGAGGGAGGCAGCGUGUACUCCUGGAUCGAAAGAUUUGGGUAACCCGCGAAUCUCCUUCGUGCUAGGGAUUGAGGUUUGCAAUUAUCCUUCAUGAACGAGGAAUUCCCAGUAAGUGCAAGUCAUAAGCUUGCGCUGACUACGUCCCUGCCCUUUGUACACACCGCCCGUCGCUACUACCGAUUGAAUGAUUUAGUGAGGACUUCGGACUGGGACCGAUGCGGCUUUCGGGCUGCGUCGGUAUUCUGGAAAGAUGUCCAAACUGUAUCAUUUAGAGGAAGUAAAANUCGUAACA